rnacentral:rRNA from 1 species
UGGCUACAGCGGUGGGGCUCCACCUCUUCCCAUACCGAACAGAGAAGUUAAGCCCACCAGCGCCGAUGGUACUGCCGAACAGGUGGGAGAGUAGGUCGCCGCCAGCC